AAAUUAACAUAAACAACUUUUCACCUUCAAGUCACAAUCCAUAGAAAACGCUAAAAAUUAAAACAUUUUUCCGAAAGUUCCAUCAUUGGAAGCAAUAAUUACUGCUGAUUAGGUAAGAUUGGUCCGGUUACUAAGUAAAGCCUCGGGUGGAACAAUUAUUACUUUAUUUAUAACAAUAAGUAACUUUACUUUACUUCAAACAAAAAUUAAAAAUAAAAAUGACUUAGACAAAAAGUAGGUCUUCCAAUCACACUUCCCACAAACCAUGUUGGUGUGAUUAUGCAAAGUUUUCAAAGUAUAACUCAUGAAUUAGUGUCUAAGCAAAAAUAAAUAGAAAAGAUUCUACUAUAGGAGUAAUCUUCACCAUGUCCAUUAAGAAAAGAAACUAUAAAGAAAUAAAAGAAAACAGUAGAACAAAAAAUGAAGAAAAGAAAACAAUUAAUAAAAUAAAGGAAAAGAGUGCACCUGAUAGGAUUCGAAAUGGUGACCUAGAGGCAUGAAAAGAGGUGCUGGGCAAAGGCUGAAAAAGAAAACACAAAUGUGCAGUCCUUGUGUUUCGAACCUUUGACCUGGUGACAUUGGCAUCACACAUCUGCUUCGCACGUGGUAGCUCACACGGACACAAACCCUGAAAUAUCUCUAUAUAAACCGCAUGUUAGCUCUACUAUUCUCAUUUCAAAAAUCUGCCGUCUCGAGCCCAGAUUUCUCGAUCUCUCUCCAGCUCCGGAUCGAUAGCCUCCGCAUGAAGGAAAUCGUCAAUCGUGCAGAAACCUUGGGUUUCCUGAUUUCAUCGGCUAUUUCAUCAAAUUUUCGAUUCGAUCAGGAUCAGUUUUUUACCCACGAAAUCUAGCGUGUUCUGAUCCAGCUAGGGUGUAUGAUCAGGAGACCUUGCUGUUAGUUUUUGGGCUUUUGGUGUAUAGACUUCGAAGGCCUUUGUGCACAAGGUAUAAUGUCAUCAAAUUCUAGACGAGGUGCAUCCAAACAUCAGUUUGGUAAAGGAUUUUGGUUGGUUUAGUUUGCAGAAGAUGGGGGCUUUGGAUGUAAAGAAGGUGGUGACAGACACCAGGGGUGGCUUCUCAUCAUUUGCAAUUGGUUACAUGGGGUGUUUUCUAUUUGUUGGCUAAUAUGUUGAGCCUUUUAGUCAUCGGAUACUGGUUAGAGAAAGAGUUCAACUUUGCGGUUAAAGAAGGGUGCGGGGAAACUUUAGAAAAUAUUAAGGAAGGUGAAUUGAUCAUGGUUCUGAUGAAUUCCCAUUUAGUGUUGGUGACAACCAAUCGACUCACCACCAACUUUAGAUCAAGAUUCGAGCAUGCCUUAAAUGUGCAAGUCUUGUGAAUUGCAGAAAGCUUGCAUUAAGAUUUAGCUCUUCAAUCCGAAAGACCUUAAGAUUGAAGGCUGAAUUAUUGUAAGUAUGUCUUCUGUCACAGGUUUACCCAUAUUCUUAUGUCCAAUCAUUUCUUAACACUACAUUAGUAACCCCAAUUAUUAUAGGGAUUAACAGAUUAAGAUCUAUUUAGAUUCUAUAUACACAUUUUAUAUCUGGAACUUAGGUUAGGUAUUGUGUAUAUAUCAAACAUAAUGCAUGAAAUAGAAAGAAAAAAAUUUACGAUUUUUUGUAUGUGGAUUGUAUUUGUUAAAUAUUUUGUAUAUAAAUUUUUUUUAACAUUUUGAAUGUAAAUAGUAUUAAUCUUCUAUCUUACGAUCUUUCAUAUGUUUUGAAUACAAUCUUACAUACAAUUUUUAAUAGCUACAAACUUAUUUUAAUUAAUUAAUUUUUUUUUGGAAAUGUUUUGAGUUGAAAAUUAAUUAGGAGUUUAAUAAGGAUGUGAGUACAAAAAAACUAAAUCAAUUACUAAUUUUUAUUUAAAAAAAUUGUGUAAUUGACAUGUAGUUCAUUAAAAUAUUAAUGCUAGGGACUUUAAUCAAAAUUUAAAAACUGAUAAGGUCUUAGUAAAAAAACGAUAGAAACUGAAUACUAAUUUUUCCUUAAAAUAAAAUGCUUUUAGUUGAGCUUAAGGGAUUUUAGUUGGCUUGUUAUUAGCCCUAAACCCUAGAAAAAGUAAAAGGAAAAUACCAUAAUAAUAUAGUAGCGAGAUUUGUUAUGUUUUCAUCAUCGUCUACUCAAUGUCCCUUGUCCUAGGACUUGGUUCUUGUUCUUAGUAGAUGAGAGUAGUUACUGCAUCAUUUACUGCUAGGGUAUGGCUGAACUAGUUUUCGCAGUUUGUAUGGCAGACUCUUUCUUUCUCUCUCUCUCUCUCCAGAUCUAGUGGUAGAGAGCAUCGAUCGAGUGCUUAGUUUUCUCUUUAUGUUACAAUCACUUACUGCUCAUUUUCCUUUUCUCAAUUCAUCACUUUGGAUAAUUUUGUUUAUGUUGCUCUUUUCUCUCUUUUUUAAUAUUUCACAGUUAAUUCAUUAUCUGCUUAAUUUGAUUAGUUCCGGAAGAGAAAGAUAUAUAUAUUUAGAUCCUUCAAAAAGUUAGAGAUAGAGAGAGAUGGAUAGAUGGCAAAACAUGAAAAUUAAUCGAAAAUAAGGGAACCAACCGUCAAGCAAUCCUUAACUGGAUCAAGGAAGGUCAUUUUGAUGAUUCAUGUGGACCAGUCCAACUUGUUAAGGGAGAGGACUUUGUGGACCCGACAUGGCCACCAUUGCUCUAUCUAAUUACAGAGCAAUAGAUGAUUCUGAAAUCUGUAGAAUCUAUUUGCGUGGUCUCACUCCCCUAGGAAGACAUUGUUAAAUUCUCUAUUAGAAUACGAGUAAGUCUUCAAUUUUUACCUUAUCUAAGUUUGUAAAUUUUUGGAUUGAUGUUGGAAGGGUUAUUGAUUUGUUUCUUUUGCAUUUAUUAAGAUGGAUGUGUCCCUUUUCACCUAGCAAAACAACAUAGUUAUAGUUGAGUCAUCGAUUGUUGACUCGGAGCAAGUCGAGAGAGCCGAUAUUAUUGGUUUUGUUGUGAAUUCUUCUUAAUCGAAACUUAAAGAAAAUGCUGAGUGGGUAGAUUGUGUUUUUUUUUUAAUUUAAGUUAAUUUAAUUUAGUUUUAUAGAGAAGAAUACUCUACGUUGUUUACGGAAUCUGAUUAUUUGUCAAAAGAAGUUGAAAUUCAAUAUUUUUUGGAAACUUAUAAAAAGUUGCUAUGUUAAGCAAUGAACCUGAAAUUGUAUAUGAGAUGUUGCCUCAUUUUGUACUCUUGUAGGUUUCUAUACAGUCUUUUAGUAAAGAUGGAUGAGUUUGGGAAGACGAAAACAUUUUUGUCAUCUUCACCAAGCUAGAUUGCUUGGUGACUCACUUGAGAAUGGUUUUGACUUCAUUUUUUAUGGAUUGAUUGUAAGGGUCGCGUGUUUAACUAUUUUGACUUUUUGUAUACCACAAUCAUUAUUUAAUUAACAAUAUUUUUAAACACAAAUAUGAAGUCGAUCUAAUUAACAAAGAAAAACAAAAAUAAUUAAACACGCAAUCCUUACGGUCGAUCCAUAAAAAAUGAAGUUAAAACCAUUCUCGAGUGAGUCACUAGGCAAUCUAGCUUGCUGAAGAUGACAAGAAUGCUUGUUUUCGUCUUCCCAAACUCACUCAUCUUUGCUAAAAGACUAUAUAGAAACCUACAGGGUGGAAAUGAGGCAACAUUUCAGAUACAAUUUGAGGUUCAUUGUUUAACAGAGCAACUUUUUAUAAGUUUUCAAAACAAAUUGAAUUUCAACUUCUUUGGACAUUCCGUAAAUGAAACAGAGUAUUCUUCUCUACAGAACAAAAUUAAAUCAAUUUAAAUUAAAAAAAAAACACAAUCUACCUACCCAGCAUUUUCUUUAAGCUUUGGUUCAGAAGAAUCCAUGACAAAACUAAUAAUAACAACUUGCUCCAAGUCAACAAUCGAUAACUCAACUAUGCCUAUGUUGUUUCGCUCGGUGAAAAGGGACAUCUCCAUCUUAAUUUUUUAAAUGCAAAAGAAACAAACAACCCUUCCAGCAAUCAAUCCAAAAAUUUACAAACUUAGAUAAGUUAAAAAUUGAAGGCAUACUAGUAUUCUAAUAGAGGAUUUACCAGUGCCUUGCAUGCCAAUAACAAAUAGGUGAGUGCGACCACGCAUACGGGUUCUACAGAUUUUAGAAUCAUCUAGGGCUCUGUAAUUAGAUCGAGCAAUGGCGGCUAAAACGACUCAUAGUGCUCGUUGAUCCUCCUUAGCAAGGUACUUGGUUUGCAGGGUGUCGUGAAUAUGUCUUCGGAUGAAGAUCAUAGCAGUGGCUUUCUCAGCUUCGCUAACUAGGUUGUCCGUCUCAUCUUCAAUAACAGGACGUAAAUUCUUUGCAGUGAGGUGGAGCUUCACAUCUUCGACCUACUUGAGGAUAAAAGUAAGGCUUGAAGAAAUCAUCUUAUUUUGAAUAUUUUAAGAGCCUAUAAUGGAUAGUUCGAAGCCCAACUCGUCCAAGAUCAGAUCAUAGCCCACAAGUAACCUAAGAUCUGCUAGAAAAUGCCCUUGCAGAACGGUCAACUUGCGAGCUUUGCCCCGAAGUGCUCAGAACGAAUUAGAAAAUUGGCCGUAUAUGGUUGGAAAGCCUUAAAAGUCUUCUUUCUGAUAGGCUUUACAACUUGUGAUUUAGAGGUUUCGACAAGAAGUUAUGACAGUCAAGAGGAGCUGUGCAGUUACAAAUUCUAAUAACAGCUAGUUUUCUGUUACUCCUAUAUUAAAAGCUGAUUGUAAUGAGCUAUAACUGACAGUCAAUUUAAGGAUGUAAAUGUGUCAGAUGUUAGAAAAAGCCUAAGCCUUUUAAUAGGAGAAAAAUACACAGAAUCAGAAGGAAAAAGAAGAGAAAAAAAAAACAGAAAAAACACAUAAUUUGGAGAGAGCAUGAGUCUUCAACCUUGAACAGUUUCUAGGUUCUAGCAUUCUUAACUUUUUAUGUAUUUUGUUAUGUUUUAAUUUAGUUUAUGGAUACUUAGGGCUGCUUUGAAGCAGUAGACAUAAUUGAAUUAAUGUUAUGAUGCAGCUUUAGUUUAUUAAUUUCAUUUCCAAG